CUACGGGGUGCUCCAGUGGGGAAUAUUGCACAAUGGGCGCAAGCCUGAUGCAGCCAUGCCGCGUGUAUGAAGAAGGCCUUCGGGUUGUAAAGUACUUUCAGCGGGGAGGAAGGGAGUAAAGUUAAUACCUUUGCUCAUUGACGUUACCCGCAGAAGAAGCACCGGCUAACUCCGUGCCAGCAACCGCGGUAAUACGGAGGGUGCAAGCGUUAAUCGGAAUUACUGGGCGUAAAGCGCACGCAGGCGGUUUGUUAAGUCAGAUGUGAAAUCCCCGGGCUCAACCUGGGAACGGCAUCUGAUACUGGCAAGCUUGAGUCUCGUAGAGGGGGGUAGAAUUCCAGGUGUAGCGGUGAAAUGCGUAGAGAUCUGGAGGAAUACCGGUGGCGAAGGCGGCCCCCUGGACGAAGACUGACGCUCAGGUGCGAAAGCGUGGGGAGCAAACAGGAUUAGAUACCCGAGUAGUC
rnacentral:rRNA from 1 species